rnacentral:rRNA from 1 species
AUUGAACGCUAGCGGGAUGCUUUACACAUGCAAGUCGAACGGCAGCGCGGUCUUUGGUCUGGCGGCGAGUGGCGCACGGGUGAGUAAUGUAUCGGAACGUGCCCAGUAGCGGGGGAUAACUACGCGAAAGCGUAGCUAAUACCGCCUACGCCCUACGGGGGAAACAAGGGGAUCGUAAGACCUUGCACUAUUGGAGCGGCCGAUAGCGGAUUAGCUAGUUGGUGAGGUAACGGCUCACCAAGGCGAGGAUCCGCAGCUGGUUUGAGAGGACGAGCAGCCACACUGGGACUGAGACACGGCCCAGACUCCUACGGGGAGGAGCAGUGGGGAAUUUUGGACAAUGGGGGCAAACCUGAUCCAGCCAUCCCGCGUGUGGGAUGAAGGCCUUCGGGUUGUAAAGCACUUUUGGCAGGAAAGAAACGUCGCGGGCUAAUACCCCGUGGAACUGACGGUACCUGCAGAAUAAGCACCGGCUAACUACGUG